UGAAACUCUGUAAUGUGUUGGAAUAGGCAAAAACAUAUUGGAAAAGACUCCAGAAGCACAGUCAAUCAAAGUCAAAAGAUGUGGGGCUCCAUGGGAUGCGCAGCCAUGGAGCCCCCACGUCAAGGUCGGUCUGAUAGCUGUUGCUGUGUCUUUAUCACAAGGCGAAUGUUGCUAGUUUCAGUUAGGGCAAUGCUUUCCCACGGUCGGGACGUUCCAGAGGAGUUGAGAAUGUUGUAAACAACAAGAUGGCGCCGAGGACCGCGCGGUGAGCCUGCCUGCUGCGUGACACCUCAUCUGAUUGGCCCGAGGACGCGUGCACACUGCGUGAACAGACAGCAGAUUGGAGUGUUCCGUGCAUGGACUUGAGCCCGCUUGCAAUUGGCCAGAUUUUGUAUAUAAGCUAUGUGCUGAGGAAGGAGGGGGCUUUCCUGUCCACUCUCCUCCUUUCAUUCUUUCUCUGUCCCUGUUAUUUUCCCAUUAAAAGUCUGCUGAAGACCGAUAAGCUGCGAACAGUGUCGUUCCUUUGCGGGCAAGGGAGUGGCAAGUGGUGCCGUGACUCGGAUCCAGACCACUUUCUCCACGCAGGAAUAGGUAAGGAACAAAAGGUAAGCAUGCAAGUGCACGGAAAUCCAGCUGGGGAAAGAAUAGAAACCGCAGUUCCGUCGAGGAAAGACGGGGAAAUUAAGCGCCAGAAAAAAGGGUAAAGGAAUCCCUUAAAAGGCUGGAGUACAAAGUGUUAAGAAAUGCCAGGAAAUAGGCGGAAACUUCCUUUUUACCUCGAAAUGGCCAAUACUCAGAAACUUCCUUUUUACCUCCAAAUGGACUAUUCUCCGUCCACCACUAGGUUGCACAUGCUGUUGAGCUGCUUGUUAAAAGCUGCGGGGACGCCCGUUAAGGCGGCCACAGUAUGUGCAUUCACUAGGGCUGUUGCCAAGACGUCACCACGGUUUGUGGAAGGUGGCGAAUUAGAUGAGCAACAGUGGCGGAGAGUAGGGGGACAGUUGAGAGCAGCCGGAGAGCCGGCAGAAAUACUUAGAUUAUGGCAACUCAUUGAACAGAACAUUCAGGACCUGCCACUCUGCUUGGUAUGUCAUUACAAAAAUCAACAAGGAGGACUAUGCCUGAUAAAUGAGGGUGCUAUCAAUGUGGGCAACAGGGACAUGUACAAAUAUUGUCCAAAAGUCAAACAUCAAAAAAGCCCCUCCUCCUGGGAUUUGCCCCUGGUGCUAAAGGGAAAGGCAUUGGACCAAUAAAUGUCACUCCAAAACUGAUUAAAACGAUAAUUCCUUAAAUAAAUAAAGUUCAGAAAACUAAAAGUGGGGCUGG
rnacentral:lncRNA from 1 species